rnacentral:misc_RNA from 1 species
ACUCUCAAAUGAAAAGUGUUCAAGUGCAUUCAAAGUGAAGCUGAAAAAAUAACCAGUUAAAAAUAGUACAAAGAAAUUUUCUUUCUUGCAAUUUGCAAGCAGUAGCUACAACCAAAAAUGGAAAAGUGUAAAAAUCGUGUCCCAGCAGACGAGCAGCAGCAGUACGAGUAUUGCAAAAUGCAGGGGCAAGGGCCCACGUAGUAUUUUUCCACGUCGGGCAUUUAAUGCUCUCGAGUUGGAAACAAAGAAACCAUACGCAAACCCCCUGGAAAAGAUGUGAUUAGUCAUCGAUUUUGCUGGUCAGCGUCGGGGAAUUUCGCAAUGCAGCAGGCAGUUUUCUCAAAUUUGGCUAGAAAGUGACCCACUAGGCAGUCUGAGGCAGUUAUCCAGGAUGUAAGGAUGUGUGCAGUACUCUCUGUGUCGAAUGGCGAUGGCCUGACCUGCGGAUUUUGAAAGAUUGAAAUAGGAAGCCAG